rnacentral:rRNA from 1 species
AACGAACGCUGGCGGUAUGCUUAACACAUGCAAGUCGAACGAACAAAAUUGGGGCUUGCUCCAAUUUUAGUGAGUGGCAAACGGGUGAGUAACACGUGGGAAUCUACCUAUCAGUACGGAAUAACAUUUGGAAACAGAUGCUAAUACCGUAUAUUCUCCAAGGAGGAAAGAUUUAUCGCUGAUAGAUGAGCCCGCGUAAGAUUAGGUAGUUGGUAGGGUAAUGGCCUACCAAGCCGACGAUCUUUAGCUGGUCUGAGAGGAUGAUCAGCCACACUGGGACUGAGACACGGCCCAGACUCCUACGGGAGGCAGCAGUGGGGAAUAUUGGACAAUGGGCGAAAGCCUGAUCCAGCAAUACCGCGUGAAUGAUGAAGGCCUUAGGGUUGUAGAGUUCUUUUAGUUGGAAAGAUAAUGACGGUACCAACAGAAAAAGCCCCGGCUAACUCCGUGCCAGCAGCCGCAGUAA